CCUCUAAGUACUGCUUCCGGGUGGCCAACAAGGGUCCAGGGCUGUUGAACAGGGAGGGAGUUGUCCGCAUGAGGCGGUCAGGGAAGAGGCAAGCAUCAUUGGCUGAAAGGGAGCCUUUAUUUUCACUGUGAAAAUAAAGUGAAAGUGUUAGUCACUCAGCUGUGUUCAAGUCUUUGUGACCCCAUCAACGUAGCCUGCCAGGCUCCUCUCUCUGUGGAAUUCUCCAGGAGGAGAGCAAGAUGAUAAUACCUCGCACUCAAGAGAAUACAGGAAAGUGCUCGGGAAUUCCCAGAUCACAGCUGCCAAGCCCAUGGUAUGGAAACCAUCACCAAGGCAUCACACCUCAAGCUCUCAGUUCCUCUCAUCAGACUCAAGGCGAGAGAAGAGCCCUCUUCACCUUCCCGCUAGCAGCUGCACAGGAGGGCCGCUUGGGACACUUAACAACUCCUUCCACAGAAACCCUUCUUCAGCAGCUGCCACCUCAACCCUUGUAUACCUUCAAGAUUGUGUUAGAAUACAGGAUGGGACUACCCUGGUGGUACAGUGGAUAUGAAUCUGCCUACCAACGCAGGGGGCACGGGUUUGAUCCCUGGUCUGGGAAGAUUCCACAUGCUGCGGGCACCUAAAGCCUGUGUGCCGUAACUUUACUGAGCCCUCAGACUGCAACUACUGAAGUCCAUGAGCCUAGAGCCUGCAUUCUGCAAUAGAAGCCACCACAAUGAGAAGCCUGUGUGAGGCAACAGAGUAGCUCCCACUCACUGCAACUAGAAAAAGCACGCUCGUAGCAACAAAGACCC
ensembl:lncRNA